rnacentral:rRNA from 1 species
AUGCAAAUGGAGGACCACUGUUUCGCAACACAGAUAAUUGGUUGGGAUGGUGUUUUGGAUAUUCCCAAAUUUGACGAAUUCACCAAGCAUGUUAAACUGAACGACCCAUACUGCGUUGUAUCAAUACUGGGGCCUCAAAGUAGUGGAAAGAGUACACUUCUGAAUCAUCUAUUCGGAACCAAUUUUCAGGAGAUGAAUAUUGAACAAAGGUCACAAACUACCAAAGGUGUAUGGUUGGCGAAGGCCAAAAAUAUUGGGCCAUGCACCCUUGUAAUGGAUUUGGAAGGAACUGAUGGAAUGGAGAGAGCAGAUCGGGAUGACACGGCAUUUGAGAAUCAAACUGCAUUAUUUGCUUUGGCUGUUUCAGAUGUUGUGUUGAUCAAUAUGUCGUGUAAAGAUAUUGGGAGAGAACAAGGUGGGAGCAGGCCUCUUUUGAAAACCAUUUUCCAGGUCCUCAUGAAGUUGUUCGACCCUCGCAAGAAAACCAUGUUAUUUGUUAUUCGCGACAAAUCAAAGACACCUUUCGAAAGCCUUGUAUCCAGUUUACAGACAGAUAUCCUGAAGAUAUGGGAAUGUGUCCCUAAACCCCAGGACCAAAGAUCUACUAACAUUAAUGAUUUUUUCAACUUACAAUUUGAGAGCCUCUCGAACUACGAGCACCAGGAGGAUUCAUUUAAAGAGGAGGUUUCCGGUUUAAGAAGUAGGUUUCAGAAAUCAAUUGGUCAUGCUGGACCUUCUGGAAAUUUUCCGGCUUCAGAUUUUUCUGUCAGUACAAAGGAAAUGUGGAAGCUCAUUAAGGAGGACAAAGACCUUGAUCUACCUUCUCAUAAAGUUAUGGUUGCUAGAGUGCGCUGUUGGCAAAUCGGUAGUGCGAAAGUAUCUAGUUUUACAGCUGACGAGGAAUGGAAACAUUGUGAAGAGGCUGUUCAGAAUGACUGUGUUCCAGGGUUUGGGAAAAAGAUCAGCGGACUUUUUCUUAGAUGUUUAUCAGAGUAUGAUAAGGAGUCUAUUUAUUAUGAUGAAGGCGUCAGAACAUUGGAAAGACAACAACUAGUGUCCAGAAUUUCGCAGCUUGUCCAUCCUGCGUACAUAUCUCUUAUGAAGCAUUUUCUGAAUGGAACUUUAAAAGAAUUCAAGGAGUCCUUUCAUGAGGCCCUAAAAAUUGAGGAAUUCCGCGUUGCCGCUCAUGCUUGUGCGCAAUCAUUCUUGCAUAAGUUCAGAAAAGGAUGUGAAGAUGCUACUAUUCAACAAGUGAAAUGGGAUCCUGCAACUUUCGAGGAUAAGCUUAAGCAUGCCAUCGACGCUCAUGUGGAGUCAGUUCGUGUUUUGAAACGGAAAGUGGCAGAUAUUUGUGGCAGAUCUCAGGGGAGACUUACAAGAGCUCUAGCCGAACCAGUCAAGGAGUUUCUACGUUCAGCUCGAUAUAACACGUGGGAAGUUAUUAAAACGCUUCUUGUAAGUGAGACAAUAGCUGCUGCUGCGGAUCUUAAAAAUGAUCUUUCAGAUUUGGAGCUCGAUGAUGGUACAGUGAAAGAACUGCUUUCAAGGCUAAGAAAUCAUGGAAGGAGCCUUGUUGAAUCAAAGGCAAAAGAAGAAGCUAAAACGAUCUCGAUCCGCAUGAAAGACAGAUUAACGAUAUUAUUCAAUGCCGAUAUGUCAAGAGUAAGGAAUGGAAAAGUAGAUAUACAAGCAAUUGCUGAAUCUGCCCGCGAUGAAUGUAUGAUGAUGCUUUGGAUAAUAUCGACAAUUUGGUUAGAUGGAGACGGUGAUACCUUUGAAAACUUUCGUUCCCUACUAGUACUUGACAAGAGUUGCCAAUUGGAUCCACUGGCCUCCAUCUCAAGGAAAAAGGAGCUGAUUCUAAAGGCGGGAACUUUAAUCUCCCCUGACAACUGCAAGUUUCUCUGGAGCCAAUUUAUGGUUCACGUUGAUUGCAUUGUCACCCUGGUCCUACAUGCUGAGACGAAUUUUCGGAACUUUGGGUGGGGAACGAAAAUUCAUAACGAAAGGGGUACCGUCCGGCUAAAUUGCGUUUCUCCCUCGUGGAGACUCCGCUUCAGCCCCCCGUGGACUUCACGGGACCGGAGACAUGACCACGUGUCUCCCCGGUUCAUUGUCUCCACCAGGCCUCUACAACGGGCCUGGAGUCGCGCUGGUCGGAGCCCCUAUGCCCCGGUUGCUUUGUCCCCCCAGAGGUUAUCCUACGUUGCCCAGCACAAAAGGAAUGACCACUUUGCCUCCACUUUUUGA